GACGAACGCUGGCGGCGUGCUUAACACAUGCAAGUCGAACGAAGAGCGAUGGAAGCUUGCUUCUCUCAAUCUUAGUGGCGCACGGGUGAGUAACGCGUAAUCAACCUGCCCUUCAGAGGGGGACAACAGUUGGAAACGACUGCUAAUACCGCAUACGAGCUAAUCUCGGCAUCGAGGAUAGAUGAAAGGUGGCCUCUACAUGUAAGCUAUCACUGAAGGAGGGGAUUGCGUCUGAUUAGCUAGUUGGAGGGGUAACGGCCCACCAAGGCGAUGAUCAGUAGCCGGUCUGAGAGGAUGAACGGCCACAUUGGGACUGAGACACGGCCCAGACUCCUACGGGAGGCAGCAGUGGGGAAUCUUCCGCAAUGGACGAAAGUCUGACGGAGCAACGCCGCGUGAGUGAUGACGGCCUUCGGGUUGUAAAGCUCUGUUAAUCGGGACGAAAGGCCUUCUUGCGAACAGUUAGAAGGAUUGACGGUACCGUAAUAGAAAGCCACGGCUAACUACGUG
rnacentral:rRNA from 1 species